rnacentral:lncRNA from 1 species
UAAUGCGCAACAAGUUCAAUUUUCCAGGAUUUAUGUACAAAUAGGAGUAACACAAAAUUCUAUACAGGCUUGACAAUACGUUUUCUUUGAAGAUGCCUAGAAAAUAUGGCUUCAAAAAUGACGCAGUCAACAAAACUGCAGUAAAACAAUUGCAACUGGUUACUUCUUCAACCUCAUAUUCCUGAUGUCAAGUUAUAGCAGCUACUGUAAGAUAAUCGAUACUUUUUUCUGAACCAAGAAUAGAAGUACUCAAAAAGUGUAGUUGCAAUUUCGAGGCCUCAAUGCCAACUUUACAGAUUUGUAACACAUCAGUGGCGUGUUUGGUACGUUGGUCUGGACAGUACAGACAUAUGAUUAAGAUCUGAUGGCAUUACCUUGAUGAUCUAUUUGCUAGUGGAUGAAUCUCAAACGACACCUAGCAAACCCCAGUCCGCCUUGGUGACACACAUUGCUUCAAAUCAGGACUGGAUGCCAAAAGCGAACCCCCGCGCCAUACACCUAAUAUUGGACUGCAGAAGAAAACAUAAAUGGCUACCAAUCGGGAGGAAGAGACAAAUCAUUUGAAGAGAGCUGAGAAAAGAGUUUGCUCUUCUUGAGUUGUUAUCUUUACUUGGUAUUCAUCAGGAACAAUAGGUCGAAAUAAAUUCCUGUUCAAAACACAAAUUAUUUAAAUAUUGGAAAAUUUUAAUGGGCUAGGAAAUUGGAAAUAAGAAAGAGUUAGCAUUUUUUGUUAAGUCAACUGUUCUUCUGUCAUGAUUUUUUCCUGUGGGAUCCUGCUGUUCUAUGCUAUCAUUUUCUCCUGUCUAGGAAGAAGGGACUUUGUCAUCUAAGGUAAUGUAACUCUUUGCUUCAUCUAGGUCUUUUACAUAACCCUUUGAAUAAGUGACACCAUCAGGAAAG